rnacentral:rRNA from 1 species
UUCACCGGUGAAGAUAAUGACUGUAGCCGCAGAAGAAGCCCCGGCUAACUUCGUGCCAGCAGCCGCGGUAAUACGAACGGGGCUAGCGUUGCUCGGAAUUACUCGGCGUAAAGGGAGCGUAGGCGGACAUUUAAGUCUGAGGUGAAAUCCCGGAGCUAAACUUCGGAACUGCCUUUGAUA